UCUGUACAACAUGGUGGCUUCAAGGCAACAGCUGGCUGCAUGGACAUGGCUUUUUACAGGGAACAGACAGUUAAAGACCAGCAAGAACAUUCCUGUAGUCUUCACCUCAUUCAUUGAUAUGUAAAACGUGGGAUGUGGCAAGUUAUGGGACAAUACAAGUGGGAUUUACACAGCCAGAGAUGGGACGGCAAUCUUGAGGAUGGAGGUCCAACAUGAUUUGAUAGUCUUCUUAGCAGAGGAGGAAGUUACAUACAGAGAAUUCUGGAGAUUUUCAAGAGUGGAUGCAGCUGGCAGAAGAAAGGGAUUAGAUUUAUCAAAUAUUUUGACUUUCAUCAUUGGACUGAUGGACAUGCAGCUUCUGGGGUUAUGGCACCAACUGGUAGUCGCAUUUUCUGUUACUACGGAAUUCUUUUUGCAUGCCCACAGAAAGUACUGGUUUUGUGUGCACGUGCAUUCGAGCUUAUGAUUACCUUUACUAAAAGGGGAAAAGCACCUCAAAAACAACUAUUUGAUUUGUAGGACUUCCAUGUAGCUUUUCUAUCACUACACAUAU